rnacentral:rRNA from 1 species
GAUGAACGCUGGCGGCGUGCCUAAUACAUGCAAGUCGAGCGAACAGACGAGGAGCUUGCUCCUCUGACGUUAGCGGCGGACGGGUGAGUAACACGUGGAUAACCUACCUAUAAGACUGGGAUAACUUCGGGAAACCGGAGCUAAUACCGGAUAAUAUAUUGAACCGCAUGGUUCAAUAGUGAAAGACGGUUUUGCUGUCACUUAUAGAUGGAUCCGCGCCGCAUUAGCUAGUUGGUAAGGUAACGGCUUACCAAGGCGACGAUGCGUAGCCGACCUGAGAGGGUGAUCGGCCACACUGGAACUGAGACACGGUCCAGACUCCUACGGGAGGCAGCAGUAGGGAAUCUUCCGCAAGGGGCGAAAGCCUGACGGAGCAACGCCGCGUGAGUGAUGAAGGUCUUCGGAUCGUAAAACUCUGUUAUUAGGGAAGAACAAAUGUGUAAGUAACGAUGCACGUCUGGACGGUACCUAAUCAGAAAGCCACGGCUAACUACGU